rnacentral:rRNA from 1 species
AACGAACGCUGGCGGCGUGGAUAAGACAUGCAAGUCGAGCGGGAACUUUCGCUGUAGCAAUACAGUGAAAGUUCUAGCGGCGAACGGGUGCGUAACACGUGGACAAUCUGCCUUAAAGUGGGGGAUAGCUCGGCGAAAGCCGAAUUAAUACCGCAUGUGAUGAGAGACGACAUCGUCUUGAAAUCAAAGCCGGGGGCAACCUGGCGCUUUUUGAGGAGUCCGCGGCCAUCAGCUUGUUGG